rnacentral:rRNA from 1 species
CGAGCACGCGCGUGUGGCAUAUCAAUAAGCGGAGGAAAAGAAACUAACAAGGAUUCCCUUAGUAACGGCGAGUGAAGCGGGAAGAGCUCAAAUUUGAAAUCUUCAAGGUUCUACCUUGACGAAUUGUAGUUUAUAGAAGUGUUUUCUGUUAGUGGAGUGGCAAAAGUUCUUUGGAAUAGGACAUCAUAGAGGGUGAGAAUCCCGUAUUUGGUCAUUCCUCCUAGCGUUGUGAUACACUUUCAACGAGUCGGAUUGUUUGGGAAUGCAGUCCAAAAUGGGUGGUAAAUUUCAUCUAAAGCUAAAUAUUGGCGAGAGACCGAUAGCGAACAAGUACCAUGAGGGAAAGAUGAAAAGAACUUUGAAAAGAGAGUUAAACAGUACGUGAAAUUGUCAAAAGGGAAGCGUUUGACACCAGUGUUGUUUUUCCGAAAAUCAAUUACGAAUGUUUUAUUUUUGAGGAGUUAUGACUUCAUCGGCUUGCUCCUUUCUUUAUGAAACUUUCUUAAUGCACUUUUCGGUUAACAAGUCAACAUCAAUUUCUUUUGUUGUAAAAGGGUAUGAGGAAGGUGGCUUUCUUUUCGGAGAAAGUGUUUAUAGCCUUGUGCCUCUGCAAUCGGAGAGAUUGAGGUCUGCAGCGUAGAUCCUUCGGGGUUAGAUACGUUUGUGCUAAGUUAUAGCUUUUCAUAGACAACUUGUUGACUAUGUUUAGUCUUGUAGCUUACUCGCAUGACGCUAUUUUACCUACGCUUAGGAUGUUGAUGUGAUACUGCGAGC